UAAACUACGAUUAGAUACCCUAUUAUUUUAAAUGUAAAUUGAUUGAAGCUUGAGUAGUAUUAGUUAUGGUCUUGAAACUCAAAGAAUUUGGCGGUGUUUUAGUCCUUUCAGAGGAACCUGUCCCGUAAUCGAUAGUCCACGUUUUACCUUACUUAAUUUUGUAAAGUCAGCUUGUAUACCGCCGUCGUCAGAAUGUCCUUUGAGGGGUAGAAUUUUCUAAAUUCUUUAUUAAGAUUGAUGUCAGGUCAAGGUGCAGCUUAUAAUUAAGUGGAGAUGGGUUACAAUAAAUUUAUUUAUACGUAUAAUGAAUUGAAGUUGAAGUUUGUUUGAAGGUGGAUUUGAUUGUAAUUAAUUUAAUUAAACUAAUUUGAUUUUGGCUCUAAAACAUGCACACAUCGCCCGUCGCUCUUA
rnacentral:rRNA from 1 species